CACUUUGAACAUGCCCAACCUUGUCUGAUCUUGGAAGCUAAGCAGGGUUG
rnacentral:rRNA from 1 species